rnacentral:rRNA from 1 species
AUUGAACGCUGGCGGCAUGCUUUACACAUGCAAGUCGAACGGCAGCGGGGGCUUCGGCCUGCCGGCGAGUGGCGAACGGGUGAGUAAUGCAUCGGAACGUGCCCAAGUCGUGGGGGAUAACGUAUCGAAAGGUACGCUAAUACCGCAUACGCCCUGAGGGGGAAAGCGGGGGAUUCUUCGGAACCUCGCGCGAUUGGAGCGGCCGAUGUCGGAUUAGCUAGUAGGUGAGGUAAAGGCUCACCUAGGCGACGAUCCGUAGCGGGUCUGAGAGGAUGAUCCGCCACACUGGGACUGAGACACGGCCCAGACUCCUACGGGAGGCAGCAGUGGGGAAUUUUGGACAAUGGGCGCAAGCCUGAUCCAGCCAUGCCGCGUGAGUGAAGAAGGCCUCGGUUGUAAG